rnacentral:lncRNA from 1 species
UCCAGUACCAGGGGACCAUACGCUCUCUUCUGGUCUAUGUGGCACGCAUACAUACACUCAGACAAAACACCCAUACACAUAAGAUCAAAAAAAAAUUUUUUUUUAAAAAAAAAAGGAAUACAGCUUAGUACAAUUUUAAAGAACAGUUUAUAUUUUUAUGAGAGAUUCUGUAGCUAAGAAGUACGAUUUCUAACUCUUGUAAGAAAUGAAACUGGCCAUCCUUUCUAACUCAGUAAUCGUGUCAUUAGCGAUGACGUCAGCCAUAAACUGAACACUGCACACAUCCUUCCCAUGUGGUCUGUGAGUGACAUCCUUGGUCUUAGGGAUGUUUCUUAACGCACUUCACCAUUGAAUUAAGGGCUAUGAUUGAAACACUUGAGUUCAUACCAUUAUCCUAGAUUGAAACAUCUUUUUUUAGAGCCUGGUGUGGUGGCACCGACAUUCAGAUGACAGGUGGAUCUCUACAUUAAAGACCAGCCUGGUCUACAGAACAAGUUCAAGGACAGCCAGGGUUUCACAAGGAAACCUAGUCUCAAGAACAAACAAUACAACAACAACAACAAAAUCAUUUUGGAGUUUCUCUUGCCCACUGAAGUACAAGGUUAAGGUUAAGUCACCUGUAAAAUGUGUGGCUAAUCCCAAGCAAGAGUCAACCCUUGAGGGCCAGGAGAUGGCCCAGCGGGAAAAGACUCUCUUGACCUUGAAGUAGACCUGGAUUUGGUUCCCAGCACCCAAAUGGGGCAGCUCAUGACUGCCUAUAACUCCAGUUCCAGAGAGUCUGCCACCCUCUUCUGGACUAAUGGGUGUACACGCACAUACACACACACACACACACGCACACGCACGCACACGCACACGCACACGCACACACACACACACACACACAAUUUCUUUUAACAGUCAAGCUGUGGGGUCACAGAUGGAUCGCCUUAUAGCCGACCACAUACCUCACGCUGGAGCCAUGGUGCCGAACAGCCCAGCUCUGGUGCCUCCUGCCACCGUACAGAGUCUUCACUUGUCUUGAUUUGGCACAAUUUUAAAAAUAGUUCUCUUUAUCGAUUUCAUACAUAAAGAUCUGGGACAGCAUAAAGACACUCUCCCUUAGCUGAGGUCUCUGUAUUUCUAAAGCGAAAGCAUUUUCAGACUACAGAAUGCUUCUCCCAGGAUUUUGGAAUCUGACUGCCUUACUUGUUUACACGUACCCUUAAAUGACCGACAUACCUACGUGUUUACACGUACCCUUAAAUGACCGACAUACCUACGUGCUGGUUAGGAGGCGAAGCUCGGCAAUAGGAACACUUGUCUAACACGUACGAGGCCCUAGGAUCCUCCAUCGCCACACCGUAAAGCAAGAAACGUGUACUCGAAAUUUGCUCAUCAAACAAAUUUGUCAGUGCCUUGGGCCAAAUUUACCUAAAAUGAAUCCUCCCAUUCUUAAUUAUCUCCAGCAAUUAAAGGCAGGAAUGCUGGGAAAUGGAUUUGCAGAAUGCUCCCAAGGUCUAACUUGCAGUCGGGAUGUGAGCAGAGCUUCCCAGAUGUACCAGGUAAUUAAAUGAACAGUUUCCUUCUGCCUCAUCUCCACGGUCUCCUACCCUUAAGGACUAUUGGAAAGGUUGCUCCUUGAAAUCGCCCGGAUAACACCAAUAGUAAACAUGCUGGCUAAUUGAAAGGAGUCCCAACGGUCCCACUAGUGCACACACUUGCUAUUACCUCCAGUGACUUGCGCAUUGCCUGGAAGUUACAUAGAUAAUAAUUUGUAUGCCGUACUUCAUUUGGCCCAGCACAAAGACAUGUUUGGGUUUUAUUUUAUCUUGUUUUGAGACAGGGACCCACUGUGUUGACCAGGCUGACCUUGAAAUCAUAAAGACUUGCCUUCCUCUGCCUCCCUGCCUCUGUCUUCAUCCCCUGGCCAAAGACCUGCGUAGUGUUGUCAUACCUGUAGCACAACUUGACGUCUAAAUAAAGGUGAUCAUCAGCCAGACAUGAUGGUGCAUACUUUUAAUCCCAGCCCUUGGGAGGCAGAGGCAGGCAGAUCUCUGUGAGUUUGAGGCCACACUGCUCCACAUAGUGAACUCCAGGUCUGUCUCUUAAAAUACAUGAAUAAAUAAACAAUAAAAGGUAAGCUUUAAAGCAGUGAUUUUUAUUUUCAGCCUAAAUGCCCACGGCUAGAAAUGGUUAGACAUCAUGUUAAUGUAUUUUGAAAACUACAUUCUGUCCUUACUUUCACCAUCCGCAAUCUCAGUGGACAGGAGGCGGUGAUGGGUGUGCUGAAUGGUGCUGUGGGGAUGCUUGUAUUGCUAGCUGGGCAUCAGAAAUCCCAGCCUUCCACCCGCUGACCCGGCUGGAACUGUAUUGGGUCAGAUUACUCGUGUUUCUGUCUGUGGACUUAAGUGUACUUGAGGGUGCAGUGACUUCUACUGAAUUGGAGGUCCCUGCAGGACCGAAGCAAGACCUGCCUGCUCCUGGUCAAACCCGAGUGUUCUGACAAUACUUUCAAGGGUUAACUACGUGCUUGCGCCCUCUGCUUCAUAGUUUGCCAUUUGCAAACCUGUGUUUUUUAUUUACUUGCAACUCAAUAAAUGUUGUCCUCUUUAAA